rnacentral:rRNA from 1 species
CCUACGGGAGACAGCAGUGGGGAAUAUUGCGCAAUGGGCGAAAGCCUGACGCAGCGACGCCGCGUGAGGGCUGAAGGUCUUCGGAUCGUAAACCUCUGUCAGCAGGGAAGAACGGUCACUGUGCUAAUCAGCAGUGAAUUGACGGUACCUGAAAAGGAAGAACCGGCUAACUCCGUGCCAGCAGCCGCGGUAAUACGGAGGGUGCGAGCGUUAAUCGGUAUUACUGGGCGUAAAGCGCCCGGAGGUGGUAUGUCAAGUCAAGGGUGAAAUCCCCGCGCUCAACGUGGGAACUGCCUUUGAAACGGGCAAACUGGAGUGUGUGAGAGGAUAGUGGAAUUCCAGGUGUAGGAGUUAAAUCCGGAGAUAUCUGGAGGAACAUCAGUGGCGAAGGCGACUAUCUGGCACAUAACUGACGCUGAGGAGCGAAAGCGUGGGUAGCAAACAGGAUUAGAUACCCGAGUAGUC